rnacentral:rRNA from 1 species
GGUUAAGCGACUAAGCGUACACGGUGGAUGCCCUGGCAGUCAGAGGCGAUGAAGGGCGUGCUAAUCUGCGAUAAGCGCCGGUAAGGUGAUAUGAACCGUUAUAACCGGCGAUACCCGAAUGGGGAAACCCAGUGUGAUUCGUCACACUAUCAUUACGUGAAUACAUAGCGUAAUGAAGCGAACCGGGGGAACUGAAACAUCUAAGUACCCCGAGGAAAAGAAAUCAACCGAGAUUCCCCCAGUAGCGGCGAGCGAACGGGGAGGAGCCCAGAGCCUGAAUCAGCAUGUGUGUUAGUGGAAGCGUCUGGAAAGGCGCGCGAUACAGGGUGACAGCCCCGUACACAAAAGCGCAUGUGCUGUGAGCUCGAUGAGUAGGGCGGGACACGUGGUAUCCUGUCUGAAUAUGGGGGGACCAUCCUCCAAGGCUAAAUACUCCUGACUGACCGAUAGUGAACCAGUACCGUGAGGGAAAGGCGAAAAGAACCCCGGCGAGGGGAGUGAAAAAGAACCUGAAACCGUGUACGUACAAGCAGUGGGAGCACCCUUUGGGGUGUGACUGCGUACCUUUUGUAUAAUGGGUCAGCGACUUAUAUUCUGUAGCAAGGUUAACCGAAUAGGGGAGCCGGAGGGAAACCGAGUCUUAAUUGGGCGUUAAGUUGCAGGGUAUAGACCCGAAACCCGGUGAUCUAGCCAUGGGCAGGUUGAAGGUUGGGUAACACUAACUGGAGGACCGAACCGACUAAUGUUGAAAAAUUAGCGGAUGACCUGUGGCUGGGGGUGAAAGGCCAAUCAAACCGGGAGAUAGCUGGUUCUCCCCGAAAGCUAUUUAGGUAGCGCCUCGUGAAUUCAUCUCCGGGGGUAGAGCACUGUUUCGGCUAGGGGGCCAUCCCGGCUUACCAACCCGAUGCAAACUGCGAAUACCGGAGAAUGUUAUCACGGGAGACACACGGCGGGUGCUAACGUCCGUCGUGAAGAGGGAAACAACCCAGACCGCCAGCUAAGGUCCCAAAGUCAUGGUUAAGUGGGAAACGAUGUGGGAAGGCCCAGACAGCCAGGAUGUUGGCUUAGAAGCAGCCAUCAUUUAAAGAAAGCGUAAUAGCUCACUGGUCGAGUCGGCCUGCGCGGAAGAUGUAACGGGGCUAAACCAUGCACCGAAGCUGCGGCAGCGACACUGUGUGUUGUUGGGUAGGGGAGCGUUCUGUAAGCCUGUGAAGGUGUGUCGUGAGGCAUGCUGGAGGUAUCAGAAGUGCGAAUGCUGACAUAAGUAACGAUAAAGCGGGUGAAAAGCCCGCUCGCCGGAAGACCAAGGGUUCCUGUCCAACGUUAAUCGGGGCAGGGUGAGUCGACCCCUAAGGCGAGGCCGAAAGGCGUAGUCGAUGGGAAACGGGUUAAUAUUCCCGUACUUGGUGUUACUGCGAAGGGGGGACGGAGAAGGCUAUGUUGGCCGGGCGACGGUUGUCCCGGUUUAAGCGUGUAGGUGUGUGUUCCAGGUAAAUCCGGUUCACUUUAACACUGAGGCGUGAUGACGAGGCACUACGGUGCUGAAGCAACAAAUGCCCUGCUUCCAGGAAAAGCCUCUAAGCAUCAGGUAACAUCAAAUCGUACCCCAAACCGACACAGGUGGUCAGGUAGAGAAUACCAAGGCGCUUGAGAGAACUCGGGUGAAGGAACUAGGCAAAAUGGUGCCGUAACUUCGGGAGAAGGCACGCUGACACGUAGGUGAAGUGAUUUACUCAUGGAGCUGAAGUCAGUCGAAGAUACCAGCUGGCUGCAACUGUUUAUUAAAAACACAGCACUGUGCAAACACGAAAGUGGACGUAUACGGUGUGACGCCUGCCCGGUGCCGGAAGGUUAAUUGAUGGGGUCAGCGCAAGCGAAGCUCCUGAUCGAAGCCCCGGUAAACGGCGGCCGUAACUAUAACGGUCCUAAGGUAGCGAAAUUCCUUGUCGGGUAAGUUCCGACCUGCACGAAUGGCGUAAUGAUGGCCAGGCUGUCUCCACCCGAGACUCAGUGAAAUUGAACUCGCUGUGAAGAUGCAGUGUACCCGCGGCAAGACGGAAAGACCCCGUGAACCUUUACUAUAGCUUGACACUGAACAUUGAGCCUUGAUGUGUAGGAUAGGUGGGAGGCUUUGAAGCGUGGACGCCAGUCUGCGUGGAGCCGACCUUGAAAUACCACCCUUUAAUGUUUGAUGUUCUAACGUGGACCCGUGAUCCGGGUUGCGGACAGUGUCUGGUGGGUAGUUUGACUGGGGCGGUCUCCUCCUAAAGAGUAACGGAGGAGCACGAAGGUUGGCUAAUCCUGGUCGGACAUCAGGAGGUUAGUGCAAUGGCAUAAGCCAGCUUGACUGCGAGCGUGACGGCGCGAGCAGGUGCGAAAGCAGGUCAUAGUGAUCCGGUGGUUCUGAAUGGAAGGGCCAUCGCUCAACGGAUAAAAGGUACUCCGGGGAUAACAGGCUGAUACCGCCCAAGAGUUCAUAUCGACGGCGGUGUUUGGCACCUCGAUGUCGGCUCAUCACAUCCUGGGGCUGAAGUAGGUCCCAAGGGUAUGGCUGUUCGCCAUUUAAAGUGGUACGCGAGCUGGGUUUAGAACGUCGUGAGACAGUUCGGUCCCUAUCUGCCGUGGGCGCUGGAGAACUGAGGGGGGCUGCUCCUAGUACGAGAGGACCGGAGUGGACGCAUCACUGGUGUUCGGGUUGUCAUGCCAAUGGCACUGCCCGGUAGCUAAAUGCGGAAGAGAUAAGUGCUGAAAGCAUCUAAGCACGAAACUUGCCCCGAGAUGAGUUCUCCCUGAGACUUAAAGUCUCCUGAAGGAACGUUGAAGACGACGACGUUGAUAGGCCGGGUGUGUAAGCGCAGCGAUGCGUUGAGCUAACCGGUACUAAUGAACCGUGAGGCUUAACCUU